AGGUAGAAUGGCCGAGUGUUAGGCGGCAGGCUGUAAUCCUGCUUACAUGGGUUUUAAUCCUGUUUCUUC
rnacentral:tRNA from 1 species